GAUAAGACAAAUAUAACUUUCUCAAGUUUUAAGACUGAGAGGAUCAAUUUCUAUGUUUAUUCAAAGAAACCAUAAACAUCAGCUCUACAGGAACAAUGGGUCAGUUUCAAGAGCUCAACUGUGGUAGGUCAACUGGGGGCAAGAAGCAGGAAGGGGUUGAAGACAGAAGAGGAAUUCUGCCCACAGCACGCAUCUGCAGAGAUGCUCCUGCUGAUCUGAUCUACGUGCAAAGCCAUAUCCAUCUGUCAUAUGACAAGAUGGAGGUGCCCAAGAUACCGCUUUCUUUGCAGUGGAAGCCAUCUUCAACUGUCCUGCCCUCCAUCUGUGCCCAACAGCUACAUUGUGUCAGGGCAAGGUGAAUGCCUGGCCAUGCCUAUAGAUGCUACACAGCCUGGAGCAGACCACCAUCCCUAGCCUAUGACCCAGUAGACUUUCACCUGGAUCACCCCAAUGAUCUCCUAACUGUGCACUUGCAGCAACUUACUAGAUAGUACACCUGCACCCACUCCUGCUCUGCAUC
rnacentral:lncRNA from 1 species